ensembl:lncRNA
CUUUAUCCACGUCUGCAUUUACCAUCUGAGUUUACGCAGCUAGCCAAGAUGGGAAACGUCACAAGAACCUUCAUGUUCAUAUGCUGGAAGUGGAAGCAGAUGUUCUGUACUGUCAGAAGUUACUGGAAGAGGAGGGUGUGUUUGUGGGUGCAGGGCACCACGGUGGAACAACCAGCAGCCACCAUGUGAGGUUAUGUGUCCUUGUUCCUCCUGACACCAUGGAGGAGGUCCUGACUCGCCUCUGUUCCUUUCACCUUUGCCUCAUGGACGGCCACUGUGACCCCGACUAAAGUCAGAAGGAUAAUAACAAGGAGGAAAAGAUCAACCUGCAGUUUUCCCCCAUCUCAUUUUUCCUGAAAGAGGCUUCUUAAUAUAGAAAUCAUCUUCAUCCUCAAAGUAUCAAUUGUUUUAAGUCCUUAUGAAAUUGAUAUUUGACAAUUACACUGAGAAAAAUACUCAGACACAAGCAUUUUCUCCUUUGAUAAUUAGUGUAUUUCUGUACUUGAUCCCCAUUUUGUACAUCAGGAAUGCAUACACUGUCUGUUUUGACUCAAAGCUGAGGCUCUGUUUUAUGAAUCAAUUGGUGGGUUUGAAAAGAGUUUGGAUGCUGAACAGAAGAGAAAGAAAAUGAAUAAAGAGCAGAAGAGUCGGAUAAGAAAGUCAUAGAGGAGUAUUGUAAAAAAAAAUCUUCAUUAAAAAGCAUUUAACAGAAUAGAAAAAAGAACAAUAGUACAAAAAUGAAAGUUGAAAUACAUGGUACUGCAUAGUUUGAGCUGCGUCUCACCACCAGUUGGUUCUUUUGCCAGAGGACAUGUGAACAUACUUUAUGCUGUAGCACUAUAACAACAUUAUAACAACAUAGUAGACCACAUAUGAGACUGUAGGAUUUCAUGCUAGAUACACACUACUGUUCAAAACGUUGGUGUCACCCAGGCAAUUUCAUGUUUUCCAUGAAAAUUCACACUUUUAUUCAUGUGCUAACAUAACUGCACAAGGGUUUUCUAAUCGUCAAUUAGCCUUUCAACACCAUUAGCUAACACAAUGUAGCAUUAGAACACAGGAGUGAUGGUUGCUGGAAAUGUUCCUCUGUACCCCUAUGGAGAUAUUCCAUUAAAAAUCAGC